rnacentral:rRNA from 1 species
GACGGAGGAGGCAAGCGUUAUCCGGAAUUAUUGGGCGUAAAGCGUCCGCAGGUGGCUUUCCAAGUCUGCUGUCAAAGCCCGAGGCUUAACCUCGAAUCGGCGGUGGAAACUGGAUCGCUAGAGUACGUCAGGGGUAGGGGGAAUUCCCGGUGUAGCGGUGAAAUGCGUAGAUAUCGGGAAGAACACCAGCGACGAAAGGGCCCUACUGGGACGUUAUUGACACUCAUGGACGAAAGCUAGGGGAGCGAAAGGG